rnacentral:rRNA from 1 species
AUUCGGAAUUACUGGGCGUAAAGCGUGCGCAGGCGGUUUGGAAAGAAAGAUGUGAAAUCCCAGAGCUUAACUUUGGAACUGCAUUUUUAACUACCGAGCUAGAGUGUGUCAGAGGGAGGUGGAAUUCCGCGUGUAGCAGUGAAAUGMSUAGAUAUGCGGAGGAACACCGAUGGCGAAGGCAGCCUCCUGGGAUAACACUGACGCUCAUGCACGAAAGCGUGGGGAGCAAACAGGAUUAGAUACCYUGGUAGUCCACGCCCUAAACGAUGUCAACUAGCUGUUGGGGCCUUCGGGCCUUGGUAGCGCAGCUAACGCGUGAAGUUGACCGCCUGGGGAGUACGGUCGCAAGAUUAAAACUCAAAGGAAUUGACGGGGACCCGCACAAGCGGUGGAUGAUGUGGAUUAAUUCGAUGCAACGCGAAAAACCUUACCUACCCUUGACAUGUCUGGAAUGCCGAAGAGAUUUGGCAGUGCUCGCAAGAGAACCGGAACACAGGUGCUGCAUGGCUGUCGUCAGCUCGUGUCGUGAGAUGUUGGGUUAAGUCCCGCAACGAGCGCAACCCUUGUCAUUAGUUGCUACGAAAGGGCACUCUAAUGAGACUGCCGGUGACAAACCGGAGGAAGGUGGGGAUGACGUCAAGUCCUCAUGGCCCUUAUGGGUAGGGCUUCACACGUCAUACAAUGGUCGGGACAGAGGGUCGCCAACCCGCGAGGGGGAGCCAAUCCCACAAACCCUAUCUCAGAUCUCAGA